UACGUUCCCAGGCCUUGUACACACCGCCCGUCACAUCAUGAAAGCCGCUUGUACCCGAAGUCGCCCUUAAAGGUGCCGAAGGUAUGGUGGUGAUUGGAGUG
rnacentral:rRNA from 1 species